AAAACAUAAAGUACUAAUCUGUUACAAGCAUUCAGCUCAUUUAACAUUCAAUUUACAUUUUGACUCUCUUGCUUCCAAACACAACCAACUAUUACAAAUUAUUACAAUUUGGUUCUUUCUUUUCAUUUCCACCCCUAAGCUAGACCAACUCGGGAUACUGCUAUCUCUGGUCACAGUGGUAAGGCGCUAUCUACGGAACUACGCCAUUGCCUCGCGCCGCCGCGCCGCUCGCGUAUGGACCUAAAAUAUGUGGGGUGAAAACUAUGAUUCAU
rnacentral:lncRNA from 1 species